AGCGGGGUAGAGGAAUUGAUCAAUUCAUCAGGCUCAUGACCUGAAGAUUGCAGAUUCAAGUCCUUUUCCCGCCU
rnacentral:tRNA from 1 species